rnacentral:rRNA from 1 species
GAUGAACGCUGGCGGCGUGCCUAAUACAUGCAAGUCGAGCGAACAGACGAGGAGCUUGCUCCUUUGACGUUAGCGGCGGACGGGUGAGUAACACGUAGGUAACCUACCUAUAAGACUGGGAUAACUUCGGGAAACCGGAGCUAAUACCGGAUAAUAUUUCGAACCGCAUGGUUCGAUAGUGAAAGAUGGCUUUGCUAUCACUUAUAGAUGGACCUGCGCCGUAUUAGCUAGUUGGUAAGGUAACGGCUUACCAAGGCAACGAUACGUAGCCGACCUGAGAGGGUGAUCGGCCACACUGGAACUGAGACACGGUCCAGACUCCUACGGGAGGCAGCAGUAGGGAAUCUUCCGCAAUGGGCGAAAGCCUGACGGAGCAACGCCGCGUGAGUGAUGAAGGUCUUCGGAUCGUAAAACUCUGUUAUUAGGGAAGAACAAACGUGUAAGUAACUGUGCACGUCUGGACGGUACCUAAUCAGAAAGCCACGGCAAACUACGU